AACACGCCUAUUGUCAUCCCCUGAUGGUCUUCCAUGAAUGACUGCCUCAGGAUCAUCACCGGAUUCCAUUAUUGUGGCAUGAGCAACAAUGUUAUCCAUUGAACCCACAGCCAACUUGCAAUCAAUCUCAGGGUCUCCAACCCUGUAAGUCCACUUUUUUUUCUCAGGGAUAUUAACAGACUUAGAAGCUUUGUUUUUCUCAGGGUAUUCAACUGAGUGAACUGACUCAGAAUCCUUCUUUUCCUCAGGGGCAUCAACUGAUUCCAAUUUCUUCUUCUUACGUGAUUGAGCGGCUGCAAAGUUCCUCGUAAUCUUAUUCAAAACACCCUUAACUACUUCCUUCAUAGGCACUGCUUGUACCUUUUCCUCCGGGGGCAGAGGGAGUUCAUUUUUUUUUUGAAAUAGCGAUUUUUGGCGUGUAUUUUCACCUUCCAGGUUUGGUACCGAAACACCCUCCUCCAUUGUGUGUGAACUUCCUUGACCAGAAAGCGGUGUAUUAUGCUUAAUGCCAGCCCCAAAAUGUCCUGCUAGCAAGUUUGUUGUGAAUUCUUCAAACUUUGCCUCCCAACGCUUUGCCUCUUCUGCCUCAAUUUCUUCCCUUAGUUGCUCCUUUGCUUCCUUCAAUAUUACUGGUUUCGCUUCCUCUAUUAUCUUUUUACUCUCCUCAUGCACUAUCUUUCUCAUCCUUGCUUCAAAGCUCUGCUUCCUAAGAUUUGACAGUCCAAAGUACUCGUGCGGAGUAAUAUGACCUCCCACUCCACGUACUCGAUCACUAUACUCAAGGGUCUCCAAAGCCUGAGUUAAAAUAUCAUUCAUCCCCGCAGCGGUCCUUUUCCCUUCAUCAACCUCUUUUCUAACUUCAGCCUGAUAACAGGAGUUACCAAUGUAAGCAAUAGAAUAACAUUUAAAAAGCUGCACACAUACAAUUCAAACGACCAAGAACUUACCACUCUUUCAACAGCCUUUUUUGUCUCUUCAUCUGGUAUUUCCCCCUCCUUUGGAAUACGCCCUCGGACCCAAGUUAUAUCUCUAUCAAUUUCUCCUUCACCUGGAACCAAGCCUACACCUUCUUCACCUAGUUCCUCAAUCUACAAAAAUGGAUUUCUGAAUUAGAACACUAUCACAAGCACAAAACAAAACACAUCUUGACUAUCUAAUGUUAAUUUACUAACCACUUCUUCUUCCACUCCUAUAUAACCCUUACGGGACAUUCUAUGUGGAUACUUGUUCUUCUUGAGCCUUUUAUGUUGUUAUUCACGUUUUGCCUGCAAAAUCCACCACUCACUUUAAAAACUCCACGAUAUGGCAAGUAGAAAAUCAGAUCUACUACUAAGUUGAAACAAGUUAUGAUAUUAAAAAUGCCGUUCAUACCAAGAAUUCAGGCGUUGUCCGUGACUUGACAAAUAUAGUCCAAUGAUCAGGCGGUAUGAAAGGAUAAUCAUUAGGAGGAAACUUCAGCUUUUCAAGGGAAUCAAGGUAGGGGAUGAUGUAUUUUGAGUAAGGUGAGACUUGAACUCCCUCCACUUAGUUGAUGCAGAUUGCAUAAUCCUCUUCCUAUGUUCUUCACCGAUUAUGAAUGGAAGCUGUGCAGUUAAGAUACAAAUGAGUAUGAAACUCUGAUCCACUAAUCAGAACUAGAAGUAAUUCAAUUAAAAAAUUAACAGAAAAAUAAAGCACUUAGUACCUGAAGACGUUUCCAUAUUUUAGCUCUGUCAUCCUCUUUUACCCCUUUCCAG
rnacentral:lncRNA from 1 species